GCCAGAGCUGGUUAAGACUGCAGAUUUUGAACUAGCAAGAGAAACCCGCCCGCUGAAUCCUUUCACUGAUUAUGUGUCCACAAGAUGGUACAGAGCCGCAGAGCUUCUACUAGUAAAGAUCCUACAGCUUCCCCGUUGACAUCUGGGCCGUGGGAGGCAUCAUGGCGGAGCUCUACACACUAGUACCCCGGUUUCCUGGCAACAGUGAGGUGGACGAGAUCUUCAAGACCUGCCAGUCAGACUGGCCCGAGGGAUACGACCUGCGCGCCUUGAUGAACGUCUGCUUCCCAAUGUCUGUGCCCGCCAGCCUCAGAUCUCUGAUCUCCAACGCCAGCAACGAGGCAAUCGCACUGAUGGAAGACAUGUUGCAGUGAGAUCCCCCAAAAAAGACCAAGUGCAGCUCAGGUACAUUCAGAAACCCAUUAGGAUGCAGCACAGAUCGGUAGGAAUGAACAUAUGGAGACAAAUGCUUUUUGAGUGCAUCUAUUCAGAGACCCAAGUGAGCAUCAAUCAGCUUACGUUUGCAGUUACUGUAAUAUCGAACCGGACAUCUCUGUGUACUGCUGAGGCAAAGCGCCGCCAAUGACUUCAUGAAUUUAUUUUACAUUUCAGCCGUGGUGAGAAAUGUCGACUAUGGUUUCUCUAGUUCUUUACAAGAUGUGUACUGCAUCAUAUCCUGUGUCCUAUAAACAUUUAUACAAACAUAACAUAAAAAUAACAAACAAAUACCAUUUAUUCUACACUAAUUUUGAUCUGGUUCAACUCUAAUGUAUAAUACUUUUGUGUUGCAGAAAUUUGUAUGUUUUUUAAACCUCGCAAUAUUAAUAUUUUUCGUUUUUGUUUGUGUUGCAGGCUCCACGGUUACACCUAAUAAAAAAAGCAUUACUUGCUACAGAACUCAAGACAAAAAAACUCAUAUGUAACCAAGUACCCUUUAAAAUUUCUCAUCUACUUUUCAUUGUGUUCUCUUGUCCUUGUCCACUCUUUCUCGUUCUUUUAGACGAAAGUUGUUCUAAACUCAGACACGCAGCUUCUAAAAGACAAAAACCUACAGGAUCUUAAUCUCUUCUCAAAUAGGACUGCAAAACAACAUAUAUGCAGUUGGUGUCUGCAACUUAGUCUGAUGAUCCCUCUACCCAGCUGUUAUUUGAAGAUAAGACACUGU